AAACACUAAUAAAUUGUACCUAAAGCAAUCUAAAUGGUACUUUCUCGUCUUUGUGGAAACACGUGGCAACAUUAUUGUUAAGCACGUAUGCUAUAAAAGUGAACAAAAUAUAACUAUGCUCUCCUCCGCUUCACAACUUAUCAGCCGACUCGAUCUUUCCCCAAAGAAUGUCAGCGAAGAUUCUGCAAAGGACUGGAUGAAUUCCAUUUAAAGGUGAGGGUUAAAUCCCGAACUCUUCAAUAUAGUAUUUUUGAUUCUUUUUUCCUUAAGAGACUAUUGAUCUAGAAAUACUAAGUCAUACUCGGCAACUGAUGUAUGGAGGAGCUAACAAGAGAAGUACGAAGUACGAACCUACACCAAAAAAUUGUACCAUUUGCAGUACAAACUAACAAGGGAAGUGGUUGUCAUUAUUUUGCGGUGUAUGAAACAGAGACUUUCGGUUUGUACUUUUCUGUCAUUUUGCCUUCCUAAUUUUGGAUGUUUUCUUGGCUUUUCUUUGAAUGCAUUAUACAGAAAUUGGUUGUGCCAUGUUUUUUGGCAGAGUCUGUAUGUGGACAUAAAUGAAUUAAGAUAGAGUAGGAAGGUGGAGUUUAGAUAAUUAGAUACGUCUUGCUACAUUCACGUUGAGGUCCAAAAUCAAGAAUGCUCCAUUUUGGGGGGAUCUUUAUCUUUAUUUUUUUAUAAUUUUUUUUUUGUGUUUUUGUUGGCUGGAAUGGCUAUUUGGAUGUAGCCCUUUACUGGUGGUUUAUUGAUUGUCUUUAUUACAAUGAACUUGCAGGAAACUUCGUCAGCUCAAUAUAUAUUGCAACAGUAUACUAUAGCCUCUGGACGUCAGAAACUUCAGAACAUUAUGUAUAAUGCAUAUGCAAUGGGAAAGGUGAGGAUGCUGGCAUCAGAUAUUGAGACGGUUUGAAAUAUUUGGCGUUCGAUUCAUGUUUUGGAUCUCUCUAUGGAUUUUAUUUAUUUCUCCAAGCUUAAUUUUUUUCCUGUUUCUCCGUCUAGGUGUCUCGUGACCUUUAUCACCUUAUGAAUUAGUGAUGAAUAAUUUUUUUUCCCUUGCAUUUCUUAUCGGCUAAUGUCGAAUUGAUCUCAUGUGCAAGAGAUACUUUGUUGGUCAUAGAUAAGAUAAACAGAUUUUUGACACAUAAUCAAGUUCUCUUUUUUAUGUAUCAUCAAAGCUUAGCAAAUUAUAGAAGCUGAUUUGGAAGCAAAUUUGCAAGAAGGGUCCUAUGAGAAUGUUAACGGGAUGGAGGUAUGGUGUUGUGGAUAGGCUGUUGUUGCUAACUGUCCAUAAAGAUGUGUCUAUCUUUGGUAGAAUAUUUAUUUCCAAAUCCAAGAAAAGUGAGUGUUAUGUGACUGAGAAUUUGUUUGAAGAGAAGUAUAAAGGGACUUAUAAAAAGACUGGACGGAGAAUUUGUCAUUGGUUUCCAAGACCCACACUAUCUUAUAAUAGUUAUAACUAAGUUGAGGAAGUAGCAAGCACAGAAAUCAUCAGUGAUAUGGAUAGGCAUUUCCAAGGGAAUAUGUAACACCCCGCAAGAGUCGUGCAUGUAUUAGCUCCUAGUAGAAUGCUCUUAGAGUUAAAGACUAGAUUUUUUUUUUAAAAGUGUCAAAAGGGACUUAGUCUCAUUCUUUGACUUCCAAAGUGAGUAAAGUUUAAACCAUAUAUAUAAUUUCCCUAAUUUCGACUUUUCAUCACAUGAAAAAUUUGAUAAGCUUUCCGCCAAUUUAAGAUUCGCCCAAAUCCGAUACCCGAGCAAGAAAUUAUGGCUAAUUUAAGUCCUAGUCGUAAAACACCAUCAUUUUGGUUCUUGGCGCGUCGCGGAGGGAGUCUAUUUAACAAUUGUCAAAUUCCAGUAGCCUAGCACGAUUGUUGCGCGUUGCGCUGAAGUUUCAGGUCCCAACCAGUGGGACAACGCGAUGGCUCCGCGUCGCGGUGACCCUAAAAAUCCCAUUCGUCAAUUUCCAGUGAGCUACCGUGAUUGUGGCGCAUGGUGGCCCAUAAAAUCAGGUUUCAGUUAUAUUUUAUUUCAUCUCAUUAAGGGUAUAUUAGGUAUUUUCCACCCCCCUUAUCAGCUUAAACACGGGAUUAUACUCUCAAGUGACCACAUUAUUCAUAGUUUCUUCAAAAAUUCACAAGAAGCUCUCUCUAGGGUUUCAAACUAAAAACCCAAAUAACUCAAGAUUUAACCGUGGGCUUUCAAGAUAGAUUGAAGAUUUGGAAUCCCCAAAUCGUAUGCUUCAAGAAUCAUCCACUAAAUUCCUAAAUUGAGGUACGUGGGAUUUUUCUAAAAAUUUAUGGGCAAAGAAACAUUCUUUAAUUCAUGCUAAAGAUUUAGAAAUCAUGAUUUUUCGGAAAGGGUUUGAAUUUUACCAUUUCUAGCAUGUUUUAGAAGCUUUAAUUAAUAUUGUUUGGUCUUUAGGCCUUUCCCCGAAGUAUUUGAAAUCCUAUAUAUAUGUACGUAUGUGUUUUAAUGUGAUGUUUGAAUUAAGAGCAUGACUCACAUUAAAAUUCCUCUCUUGAUAUGAUUUUUUCCCAUUUUUCAUAUGAUAUGGAUUGUCUUGAAAAACAUGAUAUGAAAUGUCUUGAUUUAUACUAUGACUUGAAUAUGAUUUGGGAAUCAAAAAAGAGGGUUGUGCAUGUUGAUAAAUGUUGACNNNNNNNNNNNNNNNNNNNNNNNNNNNNNNNNNNNNNNNNNNNNNNNNNNNNNNNNNNNNNNNNNNNNNNNNNNNNNNNNNNNNNNNNNNNNNNNNNNNNNNNNNNNNNNNNNNNNNNNNNNNNNNNNNNGAAAGAGUUGCAUGGUUUGACAAAGAUUUCAGGACCACCACAUUGUUAUUGAAAGAAUGAUAAUCCUUGUAUAGUUUUGACUUGUGCUUUUGGAACAUGAAAUCUAUUAUACUAAUUGCAUGUUUGGGUGGUCUGAAUUGAGUUUUAAUGAAAGAAUCAUGCAUGAUACAAUAUGGCUCAGAAAUAGGACUUGCAAGUUAUAGUGUGACAAUACCAACUCAGAUAAUGCCAUGUUAAUUCAGAACAGAAUAGAAUGCAUGUUUGAAAUCAGAUUUUCAGAUUUUGAAACUAGAAUGACGCAUGUAUCAGAACAGAUUAAAAUUGGGCAUAAAGAGAGCUUAGGUGGUUCCCUGAAGUAAGCAUGAGUUCAGACAACUCAUUGCCCAAAACCGUGAUUUGCCGAUCCGGAUAUAUUAUUUUACGCUGGCCUAGUGCCUUGUGGCGUAUCAGACUCAAACACUCCAACCCUUGCGGCACACUUGGGUUGGGGGCUUCCCCGCCGAGUCAAUGACAGAUUCCAUAUAGCCCGUGGGAUAUCAGACUUGUAGGGGAGUAGCACCUAACUCAGAAGUAAUACAAAGAUCAGAGACUACAUUGACAGAAAGGUUUUAUGAUUAUCAAAGAUGCCCAUAUAUUUUGGAAUUUAUAUCAUAUAUGAUGUUUUAUGACUAGCUCUCAACUAUUUUAUUUAUAUCAAAAGCUUUAUUUUGGAUUGCUCUGCGUAUUAGUACAUUUGUAUUAACCCCCUACCUUCCAGGUUCUGAGGUACAAUCUAGGGGUCCUGAUAAGCAGUAGAUUUCUUCAGACAGAAGUGUAGAGUUCAGUCGGUGAGCCUUCUAUAUUUCAGAAGGCCUAUUUAUUUUCAGACAUUUAUCGUUAGUCGUGGUUUUAGUCUACUGGGGGCCUUGUCCCAGAAUUUUCAGACAGUUGUUAUUAGUCAUGUAGUAGAGAUUUCGCAGACG
rnacentral:lncRNA from 1 species